CAAAGUAGAAGAUGGAAUGGAGUUUCUUGACCCCUUUUGAGUCGCAUUCUUUUGAUUCGUAAUGUCACCAAGAGGCGCUCGUUUCUUGGCCAAAUGAGGCGCAACAGCCGUGGCCUUCCCUACAUUAUCCGUUGAUGAAGAAGACGCGUGUCUUUUUGCAAGAGAUGACGACGUCGAAGACGAGAACGACGAACGGCGUGUCUGCGUCGACAUUUUCAAUAAAAAAGUGAAAACCCCUCUCGGUCUUCAAUGUUAGUUAAAAGAAUGAGAAAUUAAAGAAAGAGAGAAGUUUAAAAGGAAACAAAACAAUCUUGGAUUUUGGAGAGAAAGCAAAACGGGCUCUCUGCUCUGGUUCUCU
rnacentral:lncRNA from 1 species